UAGUUGUCGGCGGAAGAAAUUGUUUAUAUAUUUACAUAGCAAUCACCAAUUGAAGAACAGCAGGUUAUUAAUAUAAUUAUUCGACUGAUGACAGGAAAAAGUGGUGGAGCAAGCAACAGGAUUAUAUCCCGGUAGUAGCCCACGCUAUAAGAUGAUUAUACUAGCUGGGCGGAGUACAGUCAGCGUCUAAGCGAAAGUGAUAAGUAUUCCACCUGGGGAGUACGAUCGCAAGUUUGAAACUCAAAGGAAUUGGCGGGGGCCCGCACAAGCGGUGGAGCAUGUGGUUUAAUUCGAUGAUACGCGAGGAACCUUACCAAGGCUUAAAUGGGGAACGACUGAAUUGGAAACAGUAUAUUCUUCGGGCGUUUUUCAAGGUGCUGCAUGGUUGUCGUCAGCUCGUGCCGUGAGGUGUCAGGUUAAGUCCUACAACGAGCGCAACCCCUGUUGUUAGUUGCCAGCGGGUAAUGUCGGGAACUCUAACAAAACUGCCAGUGCAAGCCGAGAGGAAGGCGGGGAUGACGUCAAAUCAUCACGGCCCUUACGCCUUGGGCCACACACGUGCUACAAUGGCCGGUACAGAGAGCAGCCACUUGGUGACCAGGAUGCGAAUCUAUAAAGCCAAUCUCAGUUCGGAUCGGAGUCUGCAACUCGACUCUGUGAAGCUGGAAUCGCUAGUAAUCGGACAUCAGCCAUGAUCCCGGUGAAUACGUUCCCGGGCCUUGUACACACCGCCCGUCAAACCAUGGAAGUUGGGGGUACCUGAAGUCGUACCGCAAGAGC
rnacentral:rRNA from 1 species